UGGGGAAUUGUUCGCAAUGGGCGCAAGCCUGACGACGCAACGCCGCGUGGAGGAUGAAGACCUUCGGGUCGUAAACUCCUUUCGAUCGAGACGAAUGGCCUUCGGGUGAAUAAUCCGGAGGAGUGACGGUACCGAGAGAAGAAGCCCCGGCUAACUCCGUGCCAGCAGCCGAGGUAAUACGGGGGGGGCAAGCGUUGUUCGGAAUUACUGGGCGUAAAGGGCUCGUAGGUGGCCAACUAAGUCAGACGUGAAAUCCCUCGGCUUAACCGGGGAACUGCAUCUGAUACUGGAUGGCUUGAGUUUGGGAGAGGGACGCGGAAUUCCAGGUGUAGCGGUGAAAUGCGUAGAUAUCUGGAGGAACACCGGUGGCGAAGGCGGCGUCCUGGACCAAUACUGACACUGAUGAGCGAAAGCCAGGGGAGCAAACGGG
rnacentral:rRNA from 1 species